rnacentral:ncRNA from 1 species
AGGAUAAUAGCAAAAUUAGUGAAAGCUAAUGACGCAAAGUUACGGGUCUAAGUACAAAAGUAUAUGAUUGCCGGGCCGCC